rnacentral:lncRNA from 1 species
UUUGCUACAGCAAGAGAUGCCACGUUGCAUCUUGUGCAUCAGCAUUGUCUCAACAUCCACCAUCCAAUUUUUGUGCAAUCGAAAUGGCUGAGAUAAAGGUGAUACAGUCGACACUGCUUGACCCUCGCUUCUCGCAUCCAAUCGCGAGUGCCUUGUCGUCGAUAUCGACGUCCAUGUAGUCGCUGGUCAAAUUCGUAAGAGAAAGGUAAAAUGCUGGGGUUGCAAAUUAUUAAUUCUAGGCAUCUUGGUUGAAAAUAAUUUUUAAAAAAAAUUUAUGUUCUGCUACAUAUGUUUAGACUGAAUAGAAUUGUUAUCUUUUGGGAGUAGGUUCAGUAACAGUGAGGACACCAUUCUCCAUUGAUGCCUUGACUUGAUCGAUCUUGGCAUUUUCAAGCAACCGUAACCUCCUCAGGAACUUGCCGCGGCCCCUCUCAACAUGGUGCCAUUUGUUGUUCUUGUCUUCCUUCUCGACGCUC